rnacentral:rRNA from 1 species
UAAGGAAUAUUGGUCAAUGGACGAAAGUCUGAACCAGCCAUGCCGCGUGAAGGAUGACGGCCCUCUGGGUUGUAAACUUCUUUUAUCUGGGACGAAAAAAGAUCAUUCCUGAUCACUUGACGGUACCAGAGGAAUAAGCACCGGCUAACUCCGUGCCAGCAGCCGCGGUAAUACGGAGGGUGCAAGCGUUAUCCGGAUUUACUGGGUUUAAAGGGUGCGUAGGUGGGUCUGUAAGUCAGUGGUGAAAUCUUCGAGCUUAACUCGGAAACUGCCGUUGAUACUAUAGGUCUUGAAUCAUCUGGAGGUGAGCGGAAUAUGUCAUGUAGCGGUGAAAUGCUUAGAUAUGACAUAGAACACCGAUUGCGAAGGCAGCUCACUACGGAUGUAUUGACACUGAGGC